rnacentral:rRNA from 1 species
AGCAGCCGCGGUAAUUCCAGCUCUAAUAGCGUAUAUUAAAGUUGUUGCAGUUAAAAAGCUCGUAGUUGAAUUUCGGGAUCAAGGAAUCGGUCAUGCCUUGGUAUGUACUGGUUUUAUUGGUUCUCACCUUCUAAAGAACCAUAAUGUCAUUUAUUUGAUGUUAUGGGGAAUUAGGACUGUUACCUUGAAAAAAUUAGAGUGUUUAAAGCAAGCUAACGCUUGAAUACAUUAGCAUGGAAUAAUGAAAUAGGACGUUCGAUCCUAUUUUGUUGGUUUCUAGGAUUGACGUAAUGAUUAAUAGGGAUAGUUGGGGGCAUUAGUAUUCAAUUGUCAGAGGUGAAAUUCUUGGAUUUAUUGAAGACUAACUACUGCGAAAGCAUUUGCCAAGGAUGUUUUCAUUAAUCAAGAACGAGAGUUAGGGGACCGAAGACGACCAGAUACCGUCGUAGUCUUAACCAUAAACUAUGCCGACUAGGGAUCGGAUGAUGUUAAUUUUUAAUGACUCAUUCGG